AUAGGAGGUCCAGCCUGCCCAGUGACUACGGGUUCAACGGCCGCGGUAUUUUGACCGUGCAAAGGUAGCGCAAUCACUUGUCUCUUAAAUAGAGACCUGUAUGAAUGGCUAGACGAGGGCUUAGCUGUCUCCCCCUUCCAGUCAGUGAAAUUGAUCUAUCCGUGCAGAAGCGGGUAUAAUUAUACAAGACGAGAAGACCCUUUGGAGCUUAAGGUACAAAAUUCAACCACGUUAAACAACUCCAUAAAAAGUACGAACUUAGUGGCAUAUGAAAUUUUACCUUCGGUUGGGGCGACCACGGAGGAAAAAUAAGCCUCCGAGUGGACUGGGCCAAAUACCCAAAGCCAAAAGAUACAUCUUUAAGCCGCAGAAUAUCUGACCAAAAAUGAUCCGACUAAUAAAGCCGAUCAACGAACCAAGUUACCCUAGGGAUAACAGCGCAAUCCUCUCCCAGAGUCCAUAUCGACGAGGGGGUUUACGACCUCGAUGUUGGAUCAGGACAUCCUAAUGGUGCAGCCGCUAUUAAGGGUUCGUUUGUUCAACGAUUAAAGUCC
rnacentral:rRNA from 1 species